CAUGAAGCACUUUUAACCACUGAGCCAUCUCUCUGGACCUAAGUACUAUUUACAUUUUUUUCCCUCCGCUCUGGUCACUGGUUGUGACUUCAGUCUAAUUUCAUCAGAUAAAACCCAGUCGGGUGUGCUGCUUGGUCACCUUCACUGGCUUGUAGUGUGAAAGGUUCAGAAGUCUUGUGAGCCCAACGUACAGUGUUAGCUUGUUGCCUAGGAAUAUUUACUCUAUGGAAAUAGCAGAGUCCCCCUCCAGCUUCACUACAGCUGCCUGAUAAACGCUUAAAAACCCUGCCCUGCAGACCUCCCCCUGGAAGCAGGCUACAGACAAUGGUGAGAAGUUGGUAGAGUACAUCUGAGACAGAAUGUGGCAGGCUUAGGAACUCCUGCUACUCUUGGUAGGUCUUGUCCCUAGAACCCUGGAUGCUACUAUUGCUGUUAUAACUGUUCCCGGAGAGCCCCAUGUAACCUUAAAGCCACAGGGUGCCCCCGUGGCUCCAAGCAGCUUAAUGAAAAGUCUUAUCAAUAAGGACCACCUGGGAGGCUCACUGGCCCUCCCUGAGGUGUACAGCUCUGUGCUGGAGACUGGGACCAAGGCCUCUCAUGACUGGUACCCACUCUAUAGCGUCAGCACAGCAUGGGUGCAGGGAAGAAACCUUACAACUAAGCCUAUCCAGUGCUGUUUCUGACUAUCCACAGCAUGGGGUCUCUGGACCUUCACCUCUGAGACACUCCAGGAGGACGUCACUCCAGCAGGGCUUGGACAGCCAUCCAUUCCAAGUAAACAGAGAACAAUCCUUUUUAAGCCA
rnacentral:sRNA from 1 species